rnacentral:rRNA from 1 species
GACGAACGCUGGCGGCGUGCUUAACACAUGCAAGUCGAACGGAAAGGCCCUGCUUUUGUGGGGUGCUCGAGUGGCGAACGGGUGAGUAACACGUGAGUAACCUGCCCUUGACUUUGGGAUAGCUUCAGGAAACUGGGGCUAAUACCGGAUAGGAGCUCCUGCUGCAUGGUGGGGGUUGGAAAGUUUCGGCGGUUGGGGAUGGACUCGCGGCUUAUCAGCUUGUUGGUGGGGUAGUGGCUUACCAAGGCUUUGACGGGUAGCCGGCCUGAGAGGGUGACCGGCCACAUUGGGACUGAGAUACGGCCCAGACUCCUACGGGAGGCAGCAGUGGGGAAUAUUGCACAAUGGGCGGAAGCCUGAUGCAGCAACGCCGCGUGCGGGAUGACGGCCUUCGGGUUGUAAACCGCUUUCGCCUGUGACGAAGCGUGAGUGACGGUAAUGGGUAAAGAAGCACCGGCUAACUACGUGCCAGCAGCCGCGGUGAUACGUAGGGUGCGAGCGUUGUCCGGAUUUAUUGGGCGUAAAGGGCUCGUAGGUGGUUGAUCGCGUCGGAAGUGUAAUCUUGGGGCUUAACCCUGAGCGUGCUUUCGAUACGGGUUGACUUGAGGAAGGUAGGGGAGAAUGGAAUUCCUGGUGGAGCGGUGGAAUGCGCAGAUAUCAGGAGGAACACCAGUGGCGAAGGCGGUUCUCUGGGCCUUUCCUGACGCUGAGGAGCGAAAGCGUGGGGAGCGAACAGGCUUAGAUACCCUGGUAGUCCACGCUGUAAACGGUGGGUACUAGGUGUGGGGUCCAUUCCACGGGUUCCGUGCCGUAGCUAACGCUUUAAGUACCCCGCCUGGGGAGUACGGCCGCAAGGCUAAAACUCAAAGGAAUUGACGGGGCCCCGCACAAGCGGCGGAGCAUGCGGAUUAAUUCGAUGCAACGCGUAGAACCUUACCUGGGUUUGACAUGGAUCGGGAGUGCUCAGAGAUGGGUGUGCCUCUUUUGGGGUCGGUUCACAGGUGGUGCAUGGCUGUCGUCAGCUCGUGUCGUGAGAUGUUGGGUUAAGUCCCGCAACGAGCGCAACCCUUGUUCACUGUUGCCAGCACGUUAUGGUGGGGACUCAGUGGAGACCGCCGGGGUCAACUCGGAGGAAGGUGGGGAUGACGUCAAGUCAUCAUGCCCCUUAUGUCCAGGGCUUCACGCAUGCUACAAUGGCUGGUACAGAGAGUGGCGAGCCUGUGAGGGUGAGCGAAUCUCGGAAAGCCGGUCUCAGUUCGGAUUGGGGUCUGCAACUCGACCUCAUGAAGUCGGAGUCGCUAGUAAUCGCAGAUCAGCAACGCUGCGGUGAAUACGCUCCCGGG